AUGAGUCCUUAUGAUUUAUUUGCUUCUACCUUGCAUUACAUGAUGCCAUCACUUAAGAUUGAUUUGAAAAAUCAUUUACUUGGAUAUGAUGAUACAUACACUAUUGGUGGCAUUGCUCUCAUUUGUGAUGAUCACAAUUACUUUUCUCAUGCUAGUCUUGAGCUUAAUGAUAAAUGUCAUCCUCGUGUGAGUAUUGACCAUGCUGAUUUCUGCCAUCCUAAACAUGUGCUGCUUAAUGAAACACAUCAUUUUCAUGCUAGUCUUGAGCUUAAUGAUAAAUGUCAUCCUCGUGUGAGUAUUGACCAUGCUGAUUUCUGCCAUCCUAAAUAUGUGCUUUAUAGGUAUGCUUAUAUAAUUGGAUAUUCCAUUGAUGACUUGGAGGGCAUCGACCGUAUCACUUGUAGUUCUUUGUGUGAAUCCUAUUUCAGGCUUUUUCUACUGCACUGUUUACUACAUGCUGACCAGGUUCGAGGUGACAUUCCUUGGGAUCCUGGUGGAGUCAGAGCAUGGCGAUGA
rnacentral:rRNA from 1 species